UCAACAACGGAUCUCUUGGCUCUCGCAUCGAUGAAGAACGCAGCGAAUGG
rnacentral:rRNA from 1 species